rnacentral:rRNA from 1 species
CCUACGGGGCGCACCAGUGGGGAAUAUUGCACAAUGGGCACAAGCCUGAUGCAGCCAUGCCGCGUGUAUGAAGAAGGCCUUCGGGUUGUAAAGUACUUUCAGCGGGGAGGAAGGCGAUAAGGUUAAUAACCUUGUUGAUUGACGUUACCCGCAGAAGAAGCACCGGCUAACUCCGUGCCAGCAGCCGCGGUAGGACGGAGGGUGCAAGCGUUAAUCGGAAUUACUGGGCGUAAAGCGCACGCAGGCGGUCUGUCAAGUCGGAUGUGAAAUCCCCGGGCUCAACCUGGGAACUGCAUUCGAAGCUGGCAGGCUAGAGUCUUGUAGAGGGGGGUAGAAUUCCAGGUGUAGCGGUGAAAUGCGUAGAGAUCUGGAGGAAUACCGGUGGCGAAGGCGGCCCCCUGGACAAAGACUGACGCUCAGGUGCGUAAGCGUGGGGAGCGAACAGGAUUAGAUACCCUUGUAGUC